UGAUAGAGGCGCGGUUGCCAUCAGUAGCUUUGUAAAACGCCGGGAAGCGUUAAGCGAAAGGGGUCGCCGCCGAAGGGUCCGGAUCUUUCCCGAGGGUCGGAUGCCUGGGGUACAGGAGAAUAUCCUGUGAACUGUCGCAUUUGCGGAGAGCUGUC
rnacentral:ncRNA from 1 species